UACGGAGGGUGCAAGCGUUAUCCGGAUUCACUGGGUUUAAAGGGUGCGUAGGCGGGCUUAUAAGUCAGUGGUGAAAGCCCGGAGCUUAACUUCGGAACUGCCAUUGAUACUGUAAGUCUUGAGUACACUUGAGGUGGGCGGAAUACAUCAUGUAGUGGUGAAAUACUUAGAUAUGAUGUAGAACACCGAUUGCGAAGGCAGCUCACUAAAUUGUAACUGACGCUGAGGCACGAAAGCGUGGGGAUCAAACAGG
rnacentral:rRNA from 2 species